UCCAUGAAAACUCGAUAUGGAUGAACCAUGCGAACAAGAUGGCUAUGGUUGAUAUGAUAGGGUUUGUAUCAUUUGCUCGAAAAAAGAAUUCAACUUCCUUCACAUGAAUCCACUACUGGAUCACUUUGAGAUCCACACUGAUGGUGCUUUGAGGGCUGUGCAUUGGGUGAUCCAAUGGUGGAUUCGGGCAAAGGAAGAUAAGUCCUUCUUCCGCACCAAAGAUACAACCCUUAACCUUGAUUAAAAUGGGUCGUGUAAUCCAACUUCCAAGUCAGGUUUCAUCAGGUUCAAUCCUUCAAU
rnacentral:lncRNA from 1 species